UACAGAGGGGGCAAGCGUUAUUCGGAAUUAUUGGGCGUAAAGGGCGCGUAGGCGGCCUGGCAAGUGGAUGGUGAAAUCCCUCGGCUUAACCGAGGAACUGCCAUCCAGACUGCUUGGCUUGAGACCGGGAGAGGUGAGUGGAAUUCCCAGUGUAGCGGUGAAAUGCGUAGAUAUUGGGAGGAACACCAGUGGCGAAGGCGGCUCACUGGACCGGUACUGACGCUGAGGCGCGAAAGCGUGGGAGCAAACAGG
rnacentral:rRNA from 1 species